rnacentral:rRNA from 1 species
GACGAACGCUGGCGGCGUGCCUAAUACAUGCAAGUCGAGCGAAGUUUUUCUGGUGCUUGCCCUAGAAAAACUUAGCGGCGAACGGGUGAGUAACACGUAAAGAACCUGCCUCAUAGACUGGGACAACUAUUGGAAACGAUAGCUAAUACCGGAUAACAGUAUUUCUCGCAUGAGAGAUAUUUAAAAGUUGGUUAUGCUAACACUAUGGGAUGGCUUUGCGGUGCAUUAGCUAGUUGGUGGGGUAAAGGCCCACCAAGGCGACGAUGCAUAGCCGACCUGAGAGGGUGAUCGGCCACACUGGGACUGAGACACGGCCCAGACUCCUACGGGAGGCAGCAGUAGGGAAUCUUCCGCAAUGGGCGAAAGCCUGACGGAGCAACGCCGCGUGAGUGAAGAAGGAUUUCGGUUCGUAAAGCUCUGUUGUUAGGGAAGAAUGGAUAUGUAGUAACUAUACAUGUAAGAGACGGUACCUAACCAGAAAGCCACGGCUAACUACGUG